rnacentral:rRNA from 1 species
AGCCAUGCCGCGUGUGUGAAGAAGGCCUNCGGGUUGUAAAGCACUUUCAGCGGGGAGGAAGGCGGUGAGGUUAAUAACCUCAUCGAUUGACGUUACCCGCAGAAGAAGCACCGGCUAACUCCGUGCCAGCAGCCGCGGUAAUACGGAGGGUGCAAGCGUUAAUCGGAAUUACUGGGCGUAAAGCGCACGCAGGCGGUCUGUCAAGUCGGAUGUGAAAUCCCCGGGCUCAACCUGGGAACUGCAUUCGAAACUGGCAGGCUAGAGUCUUGUAGAGGGGGGUAGAAUUCCAGGUGUAGCGGUGAAAUGCGUAG